GUCAUGUAAUGGGCCGGUUCCACUCUCCCCAUUCCGGACAUCGUCUCAGACAGGCAGAAUUUUGUGCAUCCUAACCUAGGCAUCCGGUGAUCUAUCCUUCCUCCCACACACCCCCAGCCCACCAUCGUGGAUAUCGUCGGAGCCACCGCUCGUAGAGGAGGCCAAGCCAUCGGCCUCCCCACCGAAGGAAUCAGAACCCUCUAGUAGAGGGGGUGCCGCCGCCGUGCUAGGGGUGGCCCAUCAGGCAAACAUGCUAUGGGUCGGUAACCUUUCCACGCAUGUGGGCGAGGAUGACGCCACUGCAGUCUUCGCCUCACAAAGGGCACUUGAAUGCAUCAUCAUGCACACUGACUCUCACAGCAAUGCCUUCAUCCUCUAUAGCUCGCUCGAGGCACUCCGCGGGUACAAGGUCAAGGGCUCCUUCAUCCGCGUUGUCAUCCCAUGAAGUGAUUUCUUGGGCACUUACAAUUUUGGUGCUGGUGAUUUGGCAUGACGCUGCACGAGAGGGAUAUUUAUCAUCCCAUGGUCAAGCUCUUUUAUGAAUUUUAGGAUGUGUUGGCUUCUUAUAUAGUCCUAGAUUUUUUUUAUUGUUCCUUGUUCUACGGUGAAAUUGUUAUGUUGGUGUUGUGUAAAGACUGUUGCCCUCAUGAUACUUACUAGUGUAAUUUGUAACACCCCGGAUGUAACUUUCCAUAUUUGUAACUCCAACUCUUGCCAUUUUCGGCUAUGUGUUAUGAUA